rnacentral:rRNA from 1 species
UACGUAGGGGGCUAGCGUUGCUCGGAAUUACUGGGCGUAAUGGGCGCGUAGGCGGCUCGUUUCGUUAGAUGUGAAAGCCCAGGGCUCAACCCUGGAAUUGCCUUUAAUACUGGCGGCCUUGAGUAUGGCAGAGGUGUGUGGAACUCCGAGUGUAGAGGUGAAAUGCGUAGAGAUCGGGAGGAACAUCAGUGGCGAAGGCGGCCAUCUGGGACAACACUGACGCUGAAGCACGAGAGCGUGGGGAGCAAACAGG